rnacentral:rRNA from 1 species
UACGGGGGGGGCAAGCGUUGUUCGGAAUUACUGGGCGUAAAGGGCUCGUAGGCGGCCAACUAAGUCAGACGUGAAAUCCCUAGGCUCAACCUAGGAACUGCGUCUGAUACUGGAUGGCUUGAAUCCGGGAGAGGGAUGCAGAAUUCCAGGUGUAGCGGUGAAAUGCGUAGAUAUCUGGAGGAAUACCGGUGGCGAAGGCGGCAUCCUGGACCGGCAUUGACGCCGAGGAGCGAAAGCCAGGGGAGCAAACGGG